rnacentral:rRNA from 1 species
GACGAACGCUGGCGGCGUGCUUAACACAUGCAAGUCGAGCGGUAAGGCCCUUUCGGGGGUACACGAGCGGCGAACGGGUGAGUAACACGUGGGUGACCUGCCCUCAGCUCUGGGAUAAGCCUGGGAAACCGGGUCUAAUACUGGAUAUGACUCCAUGACGCAUGUUGUGGGGUGGAAAGCCUUGUGCGGCUGAGGAUGGGCCCGCGGCCUAUCAGCUUGUUGGUGGGGUGANGGCCUACCAAGGCGACGACGGGUAGCCGGCCUGAGAGGGCGACCGGCCACACUGGGACUGAGACACGGCCCAGACUCCUACGGGGGCAGCAGUGGGGAAUUUUGGACAAUGGGCGCAAGCCUGAUCCAGCCAUGCCGCGUGCGGGAAGAAGGCCU